rnacentral:rRNA from 1 species
AGAGUUUGAUCCUGGCUCAGAUUGAACGCUGGCGGCAUGCUUUACACAUGCAAGUCGAGCGGCAGCGCGGGGGCAACCCUGGCGGCGAGCGGCGAACGGGUGAGUAAUGCAUCGGAACGUGUCCAGAAGUGGGGGAUAACCCGGCGAAAGCCGGGCUAAUACCGCAUAUUCUCCACGGAGGAAAGCGGGGGAUCGCAAGACCUCGCGCUUUUGGAGCGGCCGAUGCCCGAUUAGCUUGUUGGUGGGGUAAUGGCCUACCAAGGCGACGAUCGGUAGCUGGUCUGAGAGGAUGAUCAGCCACACUGGGACUGAGACACGGCCCAGACUCCUACGGGAGGCAGCAGUGGGGAAUUUUGGACAAUGGGGGAAACCCUGAUCCAGCCAUGCCGCGUGCGGGAAGAAGGCCUUCGGGUUGUAAACCGCUUUUAGCUGGGAAGAAAAGAUCACGGAUAACACCCGUGGUUCUUGACGGUACCGGCGGAAUAAGCACCGGCUAACUACGUGCCAGCAGCCGCGGUAAUACGUAGGGUGCGAGCGUUAAUCGGAAUUACUGGGCGUAAAGCGUGCGUAGGCGGUUCGUUGUGUCUGUGGUGAGAGCCCCGGGCUUAACCUGGGAAUUGCCAUGGAAACUGGCGAGCUUGAGUGUGGCAGAGGGGGGUGGAAUUCCGCGUAGCAGUGAAAUGCGUAGAGAUGCGGAGGAACACCGAUGGCGAAGGCAGCCCCCUGGGCUAGCACUGACGCUCAGGCACGAAAGCGUGGGGAGCAAACAGGAUUAGAUACCCUAGUAGUCC